UAUUUUUUAUCGUUAACAAUUUUUUUAUAAUCAAAUUAAAAAAUGGAUCGAGGCGUUUUAUACAAAGAAUUAUACGAAAGAUUUGUAAAAGCUUAUGGCCAUUCUAAGUCAAAACAAAACUGCCAAAAAGAAAUAAAUAUCAUAUGGAAUAAAAUAAAAAAUGAUGAAAAACUUCCUGAAAAAGUAAAAGAAUUAUUAAACACAUAUUCAACAAAAGCAAUGAAAGUAAAAGGAAAGUUGUUUAAUUACUGGUCGUCAGCUGCAACAAAAUCCUCAAUUUCUCAUGACAAAGAAAACAAAUCGAAUCUUGUUGAAGUUGAUAAAUCAAAAACUUUAUUCUCCGUAGUUUCUGAUGAAAUUGAUUUUGUAGCAGAACCAUCUCAAGUAACCAAAUCAAGUACUGUAGAUUCAAUUGUGCGAUGUGCUAAGACGGAGAGAAAAGUUCAAGAUUCACUAAAACAAGAAAAUAAUUUGAUUAAUGGAGAUUUGAUUGGGUUGAUGAAGAGAAAAGAAUGCGGACAGUUUACAUCGGUGCAAGAAAAUGAGCUUAUAGAAAAGAAGAAGAAAAAAGAACUAGAAAAGAACUUAAAGAAGAAAAAAGAUUCAAUGUUGAGAAGCCGGAAGUUCUGAAGUAAUAGGAGGGAAGCAGGGGGAAAGCCUUAAAAAAGCUUUGUAAAUCAACUCUAUCAGCAAAAAAGACUCUCCACCUUCAAAUGACAAGUGGGCGUCCGUGAAUUAAAGAAGAACAACCGGAUUUACUAAAAACUAUUUGUGACAUUGCUCUUUACGGUUCAGCAGCUCAUGAAAAAAGAAGAUAUACUGUUGUUAGAAGUACAAAAACGUUAAGUGAAUUGACUGAAUCUUUGAAAAAGCUAGGUUUUCAAGUUAGUAGAACCGGUACUUAUCUUCGAUUGAAUCCAAGAAACAGCGCAACUCAAGAAGGAAAUAGGCAUAUAAAAACUGUCCCAGUUAAGUUAAUUAGAUCCCAAAAUGAUAAACAUGCCAAACAUAUUGAUGUGAAAUUCUGUACAGAAACAAUCAGGCGUCUUGAAGAGAUAUCAUUUCUCCUUGGUCCAAAAGAAGUUUUUUUUCUCAGUCAGGACGACAAAGCCAGGGUUAUAUAAGUUUUUUUAUUUAUUUAAUUUUUCAUAUCAAGAAAAAUUUAAUCUGCAUUAUUAUCACAUUGUUUUAGGUUCCGAUUAGAUUGACUGCUGCAAAUAAGCAUGCGCCGUUGCUUAUGUAUAUGGAGUAUAAAGUGACUCUACCAAAUCAUGACUGGGUUAUUGCUAAUAAUAACACAUUUAUCCCAUCUGUGUACGCUGCUAUUGAAGUGCACUCAGAUGGUUUAGGGAAACCGAGUUUCGUAGGUUACUUCGGCCUUACAUAUAUAGCUGUUAGAUCUGGAAAACAUUCGUCAUCGACUGCAUUAUCUCACGCUCUUGAUUUUAAUAAACUAACUGACUUAAAAGAAUUUCAGGAUUUUUCUAAAAAUGGUUCUUUUGUUAAACCAGUUGUCAUCUUGACUGUAGAUGGAGGUCCAGUGAGAACCCUCAUUAUCAAAAGAUUGGCUGCAAAUUCACCAGGAAGGAGCGCUUUUAAUCGAGUCGAUAGAAGAAUGGCACCAUUAAGUUGUGAACUUUCAAGCGUGAUCCUACCUCAUGAUUAUUAUGGAAAUCAUCUUAACAAUGCUGGUUUUACAAUAGAUAAUACUCUUGAAAAAACAAAAUUUCCAGUAUGCUGGUGAAACUCUUGCGGAAAUCUGGUCUAAUGUUUCAAUUGACAAGUUUCCUGUAGUUGCUGAAUUUAUUGUUCCAGAAAAAUCAGAAAUCUUAUCUAGUACUUUAAAAACCAAGGACAGCUUCUGGUAUGCUCGUCAUGUGCAAACAAGCCAGUAUUUUUUCCAAAUAGUUAAGUGUGAAAAUCGGAAUUGCUGUACCAAGAGGGUCAUAUUUUACAGUCAUACUUGAUCGUUUUUUUUCAACAUUGAUACCGCUAUCACAACUCCCAGAGGGACGGCUCCAAGUUCCGAACGCAUUAUGCCAUAAAAACCACAAGUUUCCGUCGCUUUUUGUUGGAAAAACCUUUAAGUUAGAUGAUAUUAUGUCUCACCUGACAACGGUUUAUUGAGUUUUACCUUAUGAUUUAUUAUGUUCAUCUGUGCCAUCUCUUCUUAAGAGUCGAUGUUGCAAAAAAUGUUCAAUGUAUUUUGCAUCCAAUGUGUUGUUAAAGAAACACGUUACUGUCCAUAUAUAUUCAAAAUCACCAAUCGAUGCUGCUUCUGACAUAAUCAGGCAAGUGCAUACUUGUUUGGCUGCUCGUCAUCAAACUGAGCUUAUGACAAUAAAUUUGUUUGAGGAAAACGGAGAGCAUAUCGAUUGGAUUGAAGAAAAUGAAUUCUAAUGUUCAAAUCAUACCAAAAGAAGAUGUAGAAAAAAAUCUUUCCUUGUCACUUUUCUUAAUGGAUGAACACUUCUGCUCACCUUGGAUAAAUGCUGAAUAAUAUAUUAUAUGUAUGGUAAUUUUAAAGAUGAAUAAGAUAAAUUUCGUUUGUGAAAA